AAUGACAAGAUUGUACUUUCCUAAAAUGUACUGUUCAUUGUGUAGAAUGCGUUUGAGUUACGACAAACUAAAUGGUUUUCAUGAACAAACAUAACUUUUUCUUUAGUCAUACUAAAAACGACCAUGUAAUCAUGGCGGUAUUUUAGGAAUUUGUCUACUUUAUGGUGUCGACGAAAAUAAACCAAAAAAGAACGUCACACCUGGCACAGAAAGGAGUGAAGACACGUUCCAAGUGCAGAGGCGCUCAAAAAGCUCUAAGGAUUAUUUCGAAAGCUGCUGAAACAAGAGUAGGAUGUGAAUGAAAUCGUUGAGAUUUUGCAAAAUGCAAGUUAAGCUCACAUUCACCGCAUCCUUCAUUGUCUGAGGUAUAUGUGAACACAGCCAUGGUUCAACGACAGCAAAAUUUCCAUCUGGAAAAGCAUUAUGUAUUUGCUUUAUUAAACUGUGGGGAAUAGUUCCAAAUAAAAACAGUAAGAAAUA